rnacentral:rRNA from 1 species
UGAGAUCUCACUGGAACCUAGAGUUCCCUGAAGGGCCGUCGAAGACUACGACGUUGAUAGGUUGGGUGUGUAAGCGCUGUGAGGCGUUGAGCUAACCAAUACUAAUUGCCCGUGAGGCUUGACCAUAUAACACCCAAGCAAUU